rnacentral:piRNA from 1 species
GAUGGAAUUCUCAAUUAGGAAAG